rnacentral:pre_miRNA from 1 species
UGCGGGGGGAGGGGAUCCCUCGGCCCAGAUUGAGGGAGGGCACAGACCAGGCUGAGGGACCCCACCGGUGCACA